rnacentral:rRNA from 1 species
GGAGGGUGCAAGCGUUAAUCGGAAUUACUGGGCGUAAAGCGCACGCAGGCGGGUUUGUUAAGUCAGAUGUGAAAUCCCCGGGGCUCAACCUGGGAACUGCAUCUGAUACUGGCAAGCUUGAGUCUCGUAGAGGGGGGUAGAAUUCCAGGUGCAGCGGUGAAAUGCGUAGAGAUCUGGAGGAAUACCGGUGGCGAAGGCGGCCCCCUGGACGAAGACUGACGCUCAGGUGCGAAAGCGUGGGGAGCAAACAGGAUUAGAUACCCUGGUAGUCCACGCCGUAAACGAUGUCGACUUGGAGGUUGUGCCCUUGAGGCGUGGCUUCCGGAGCUAACGCGUUAAGUCGACCGCCUGGGGAGUACGGCCGCAAGGUUAA